CCUACGGGUGGCAGCAGUGAGGAAUAUUGGUCAAUGGGCGAGAGCCUGAACCAGCCAAGUCGCGUGAGGGAGUACUGCCCUAUGGGUUGUAAACCUCUUUUGUCGGGGAGCAAAAGCCGGACGUGUCCGGCUGUGAGAGUACCCGAAGAAAAAGCAUCGGCAAACUCCGUGCCAGCCGCCGCGGUAAUACGGAGGAUGCGAGCGUUAUCCGGAUUUAUUGGGUUUAAAGGGGGCGCAGGCGGGUUUUUAAGUUAGCGGGAAAAUCGUGGGGCUCAACCCCAUCCAGCCGUUGAAACUGGGGGUCUUGAGUGUGCGAGAGGUAUGCGGAAUGCGUGGUGUAGCGGUGAAAUGCAUAGAUAUCACGCAGAACCCCGAUUGCGAAGGCAGCAUACCGGUGCACAACUGACGCUGAGGCACGAAAGCGUGGGUAUCGAACAGGAUUAGAUACCCCAGUAGUC
rnacentral:rRNA from 1 species